rnacentral:rRNA from 1 species
GAUGAACGCUGGCGGCGUGCCUAAUACAUGCAAGUCGAGCGAACGGACGAGAAGCUUGCUUCUCUGAUGUUAGCGGCGGACGGGUGAGUAACACGUGGAUAACCUACCUAUAAGACUGGGAUAACUUCGGGAAACCGGAGCUAAUACCGGAUAAUAUUUUGAACCGCAUGGUUCAAAAGUGAAAGACGGUCUUGCUGUCACUUAUAGAUGGAUCCGCGCUGCAUUAGCUAGUUGGUAAGGUAACGGCUUACCAAGGCAACGAUGCAUAGCCGACCUGAGAGGGUGAUCGGCCACACUGGAACUGAGACACGGUCCAGACUCCUACGGGAGGCAGCAGUAGGGAAUCUUCCGCAAUGGGCGAAAGCCUGACGGAGCAACGCCGCGUGAGUGAUGAAGGUCUUCGGAUCGUAAAACUCUGUUAUUAGGGAAGAACAUAUGUGUAAGUAACUGUGCACAUCUUGACGGUACCUAAUCAGAAAGCCACGGCUAACUACGUGCCAGCAGCCGCGGUAAUACGUAGGUGGCAAGCGUUAUCCGGAAUUAUUGGGCGUAAAGCGCGCGUAGGCGGUUUUUUAAGUCUGAUGUGAAAGCCCACGGCUCAACCGUGGAGGGUCAUUGGAAACUGGAAAACUUGAGUGCAGAAGAGGAAAGUGGAAUUCCAUGUGUAGCGGUGAAAUGCGCAGAGAUAUGGAGGAACACCAGUGGCGAAGGCGACUUUCUGGUCUGUAACUGACGCUGAUGUGCGAAAGCGUGGGGAUCAAACAGGAUUAGAUACCCUGGUAGUCCACGCCGUAAACGAUGAGUGCUAAGUGUUAGGGGGUUUCCGCCCCUUAGUGCUGCAGCUAACGCAUUAAGCACUCCGCCUGGGGAGUACGACCGCAAGGUUGAAACUCAAAGGAAUUGACGGGGACCCGCACAAGCGGUGGAGCAUGUGGUUUAAUUCGAAGCAACGCGAAGAACCUUACCAAAUCUUGACAUCCUUUGACAACUCUAGAGAUAGAGCCUUCCCCUUCGGGGGACAAAGUGACAGGUGGUGCAUGGUUGUCGUCAGCUCGUGUCGUGAGAUGUUGGGUUAAGUCCCGCAACGAGCGCAACCCUUAAGCUUAGUUGCCAUCAUUAAGUUGGGCACUCUAAGUUGGCUGCCGGUGACAAACCGGAGGAAGGUGGGGAUGACGUCAAAUCAUCAUGCCCCUUAUGAUUUGGGCUACCCGCGUGCUANCAUGGACNAUACAAGGGGCGCCGAACCGCGAAGUCCAGCAAAUCCCAUAAAGUGGUCUCAGUUCGGAUUGGAUUCUGCAACUCGACUAACUGAAGCUGGGAUCCCUAGUAAUCCUAAAUCACCUGGUACCGGGAAAACUUCCCGGGGUC